rnacentral:rRNA from 1 species
AUUGAACGCUGGCGGCAGGCCUAACACAUGCAAGUCGAGCGGCUGAAGGGAGCUUGCUCCUGGAUUCAGCGGCGGACGGGUGAGUAAUGCCUAGGAAUCUGCCUGGUAGUGGGGGAUAACGUCCGGAAACGGGCGCUAAUACCGCAUACGUCCUGAGGGAGAAAGUGGGGGAUCUUCGGACCUCACGCUAUCAGAUGAGACUAGGUCGGAUUAGCUAGUUGGUGGGGUAAAGGCCUACCAAGGCGACGAUCCGUAACUGGUCUGAGAGGAUGAUCAGUCACACUGGAACUGAGACACGGUCCAGACUCCUACGGGAGGCAGCAGUGGGGAAUAUUGGACAAUGGGCGAAAGCCUGAUCCAGCCAUGCCGCGUGUGUGAAGAAGGUCUUCGGAUUGUAAAGCACUUUAAGUUGGGAGGAAGGGCAGUAAGUUAAUACCUUGCUGUUUUGACGUUACCAACAGAAUAAGCACCGGCUAACUUCGUG